GUCUUUGCAUGAAUUUAAUCAUCUCCAUCAGAAUCCUUAAGGAAUUACAAUAACAGUGAUUCAUUCAUAAUUCACAAUUUCCAUUAUCUUCUUUCUACAUCUAGUGUGGGGGGUAAAAUUUAUGGCUUCAUUUACAUUGUGUUCUAUGAAUAAUAGAAGAAAUACAGUAAAGACCCAUGGAAAUGUUCUUGCUGCUGACGCUGUUUGGAACACAUCUGCAUCACAAUAGCCUUCUCGCCUUCCACAGUGCAGGAUCCGCCGAGCUUGCAGCUGCGAGGGGAGCAUUUCAAAGGGGCCAUUCUCAUUAUACAGAGCCUUCUCUUUCUUUGAACUUCAAAGCAGAAUGAGGAGACCUUAAAUGAUAUGGGACAGCAGAGAGAGAGAGAGAGAGAGAGAGAGAGUUUCUACUUUGUGGGUGCACAAAGCAAUCUGCGUUUUUCUCUGGGUGAUUGCCUUUUUAUUCCACUUUAUUUUAGUUAUGUAUUAUUUAUUUUGGUUGACGUAGUUAAGAGCAAGCAAGAGCAAACUUGUAGUUAGUGCCUGAGAAAUCCAUGCAAGGUUGGCAAUUUGGUGGCUUAAGGGUAGACAUAAAAUGUCCAGACAGAAGUCCCGGCAAUCAGGCUGUUUAGGUCAGUAGUUUCCAACUGGGGGCGAUUUGGCCCCCAGGGGACAUUUGGCAAUGUCUGGAGACACUUUCGAUAGUCACAACUGGGGAAGACUUGCCAGCUGCGUCUAGCAGGUAGAAACCAGGGAUGCUGCCGCCCCACCUGCCGUGCGCAGGACAGACCCCACAGCAAAGAAUCACCCCGCCCCAAAUGUCAAUAGCGCAGUGGUUGAGAAACCCUGCUCUCGAUCAAGUCUCACCCAGAAUAUUGUGUCUGGUUUCAAGGCCAAUUCUUUAGUAAAAAUCCUGCCACUCUGGAGCUUGUCUCAGGUGUGUGGCUGGAAGGUGGGGGGACUUGAUAUUAUCAAACACGAUGAGGCGGAGGGGACCAAGGCUGUUUGGGCCAGAAAAAAAGAGGCUCAGAAGACACGGAAGUUGGUUCUAUUACUUCAGAGGCUGAAUUGAAAGCCACAGGGAGAGAGAUUUUGGCGUCACAUGAGAAAGUCAUUUCAAACAAUCAAAGUUACCAGGAGUAGAAUAAGCUCCCUUGUGAAAUAAUGGGUAUCCUGUUAG
rnacentral:lncRNA from 1 species